rnacentral:rRNA from 1 species
GACGAACGCUGGCGGCGUGCUUAACACAUGCAAGUCGAACGGAAAGGCCCUGCUUGCAGGGUACUCGAGUGGCGAACGGGUGAGUAACACGUGGGUGAUCUGCCCUGCACUUCGGGAUAAGCCUGGGAAACUGGGUCUAAUACCGGAUAGGAGCCAUUUUUAGUGUGAUGGUUGGAAAGUUUUUUCGGUGUAGGAUGAGCUCGCGGCCUAUCAGCUUGUUGGUGGGGUAAUGGCCUACCAAGGCGGCGACGGGUAGCCGGCCUGAGAGGGUGGACGGCCACAUUGGGACUGAGAUACGGCCCAGACUCCUACGGGAGGCAGCAGUGGGGAAUAUUGCACAAUGGGCGCAAGCCUGAUGCAGCGACGCCGCGUGGGGGAUGACGGCCUUCGGGUUGUAAACUCCUUUCGCUAGGGACGAAGCUUUUUGUGACGGUACGUAGAUAAGAAGCACCGGCUAACUACGUG